AAGUCGUAACAAGGUUUCCGUAGGUGAACCUGCGGAAGGAUCAUUACCGAGAGGACCGACCAGGGGCGGCACCAAUACCCCGGCCCAGGCCGACGGCCUGGGGCUCUCCACCCGACGCGAACGCCAUUAACAUACUAUUUUGGCGGGCAUGUGCCCGCCGGUUGCCCUUAAGAUUCUGUCAUUCCGUGGCGUCCGAGUAUGAACACAAUGAUUUAAAACUUUCAACAACGGAUCUCUUGGUUCUG
rnacentral:misc_RNA from 1 species